CUUAUCCAGAGCGGCUGAGGGACUGGCCCAAUGAAGCCCGGCAACCGGCGGGAAACCGCAAGGUGCUAAUUCCAGCAGUGCGGAAACGCACUGGCAGAUAAG
rnacentral:ncRNA from 1 species